rnacentral:lncRNA from 1 species
UACUAUAUAUAGGACCUUCCUCACACUGAAGAGGCACGAAAAACAGACCCUGAAAACCUCUGAAAAAUCCAACUCUCAAAUUUUCUACUUCCUCACUCUUUACAAAGUUUGGAGAACAUCUCUUUUGGAUUUUCUGGGUUCUUUAGCUGAGAUAUGACUUGACAAUGAAGCUGGUUUGAUUAUUAUUAUUGUUCCUUGCUGCUGAGUCCCUUGUUUUCCUGCUACCAUUAGCUGAUCUUUGAACAUAUUUUCUGGUUUUGCUUGUUGUAUCCAGGUACCCCUUUUGAAACCUUGGACUGCAAAGUGAACAUGAAGAUGUGUGUGUUUUGAGGCUGAUGCAAUCAGUCAUUUUUCAGUAAUUAGCUCUUAUGUUCUAUUAAUUCGUAUAUCUUUUCUCUUGUUAAUCAAUGUUAUGCUUUGCCUAUUAUUAAUAGAUAUAGAUCUGUAUUUGGUACAUAAAUUUUUUAUUGUAAUAUAUGAAAUUUUAGGACUUUAGCUUUUAUGUUAAGGAUCUCGUGGAAAAUGUUAAAUGUUCGAAUUUUAGCCAAGUGGAUAUACAAUGUGAUUGUGAGAAUUUGUCUAUGUAAUCUUUGGUUCUGGAACUAUGCUGGAGUCAUUAGAACAUUUGGUGUGAUGAGUACAUACAUUUGAGGAUUGGCUACCA